AGUGAACGCUGGCGGUAGGCCUAACACAUGCAAGUCGAACGGCAGCACAGUAAGAGCUUGCUCUUACGGGUGGCGAGUGGCGGACGGGUGAGGAAUACAUCGGAAUCUACUUUUUCGUGGGGGAUAACGUAGGGAAACUUACGCUAAUACCGCAUACGACCUACGGGUGAAAGCAGGGGAUCCUCGGACCUUGCGCGAUUGAAUGAGCCGAUGUCGGAUUAGCUAGUUGGCGGGGUAAAGGCCCACCAAGGCGACGAUCCGUAGCUGGUCUGAGAGGAUGAUCAGCCACCCUGGAACGUAGACACGGUCCAGACUCCUACGGGAGGCAGCAGUGGGGUAUAUUGGACAAUGGGCGCAAGCCUGAUCCAGCCAUACCGCGUGGGUGAAGAAGGCCUUCGGGUUGUAAAGCCCUUUUGUUGGGAGAGAAAAGCAGCAGGUUAAUACCCCGCUGUUCUGACGGUACCCAAAGAAGAAGCACCGGCUAACUUCGUG
rnacentral:rRNA from 1 species